CCUACGGGAGGCUGCAGUGGGGGAUAUUGCACAAUGGAGGAAAGUCUGAUGCAGCGACGCCGCGUGAGGGAAGAAGGUCUUCGGAUUGGAAACCUCUGUCUGUGGGGAAGAAAAUGACGGUACCCAAAGCGGAAGCACCGGCUAACUACGUGACAGCAGCCGCGGUUAUACGUAGGGAGCGAGCGUGGUCCGGAAUUACUGGGUGUAAAGGGAGCGUAGGCGGGCGAGAAAGUUGAAGGUUAAAUCUACGGGCUUAACUGGGAGCUGCGUUCAAAACUUCUUGUCUUGAGUGAAGGAGAGGCAGGCGGAAGUCCUAGUGUAGCGGUGAAAUGCGUAGAUAUUGGGAGGAACACCAGUGGCGAAGGCGGCCUGCUGGGCGUUAACUGACGCUGAGGCUCGAAAGCGUGGGGAGCGAACAGGAUUAGAUACCCUUGUAGUC
rnacentral:rRNA from 1 species